GACGUAGGGCGCAAGCGUUGUCCGGAUUUAUUGGGCGUAAAGAGCUCGUAGGCGGCCUGUCGCGUCGACCGUGAAAACCCGCAGCUCAACUGCGGGCUUGCGGUCGAUACGGGCAGGCUGGAGUUCGGUAGGGGAGACUGGAAUUCCUGGUGUAGCGGUGAAAUGCGCAGAUAUCAGGAGGAACACCGGUGGCGAAGGCGGUUCUCUGGGCAUGUCCUGACGCUGAGGAGCGAAAGUGUGGGGAGCGAGCAGG
rnacentral:rRNA from 1 species